rnacentral:rRNA from 1 species
UACAGAGGUCUCAAGCGUUGUUCGGAUUCAUUGGGCGUAAAGGGUGCGUAGGUGGCAUGGUAAGUCGGAUGUGAAAUCCCGGGGCUCAACCCCGGAACUGCAUUCGAUACUGCUGCGCUAGAGUACUGGAGAGGAGAUUGGAAUUUACGGUGUAGCAGUGAACUGCGUAGAUAUCGUAAGGAAGACCAGUGGCGAAGGCGGAUCUCUGGACAGUUACUGACACUGAGGCACGAAGGCCAGGGGAGCAAACGGG